ensembl:lncRNA
CUGCUGUCACAACUAUUAAAGAAGCUAUCAUAUGAUUUUCGUAUGUGCAGUCAAUUCACCAGACUUGUGUCAAUGGACCUGAGCAAGUUCUUUUAUGAGGUCUUGACAAACACGCCUCAAAGCUGCUGUAUUUGUACCGCACAAGGCGCUAUGCAGACAUCGCAGAAAUGAGUGCCAUACUGGAGAGCCUGGAUAAAAAUGCAUCAAAUCAACGGAAGAGGGUUGCAGUACUGCUGGGGCUGCCACUGUACAUGCGGGAGAAUCCAUCUCAGUUCUUAAAGAUCUGUGAGCACACAGAUUCUGAAGAAGAGUCAAUCAAGGGCGUGACUGUUGGAAUCAUUACAGUUGUGGAUGACGUGAUGGACCCUAUUCCAUGUGACUGCAGUGAUGUAGCUCUUGUAAUCGAAGAGGUUGUCGUUCUACGCAACCUUGGUGAUGUACAAAAUGCAUUUGUCAACUUGAUGGGAUUGCUCUAUGCACUUAACAUAAACUACCCCAAAAACUUCAAAUACACGUUUGAGGUCAUUCAGAGGCUGUUCAUGAACAUUGGAGCUGAUGCCUGCAGUGCACGAGUACAUUCACUUAAAAAUAAACUGCUGAAG